rnacentral:lncRNA from 1 species
AAAAAAAAUCAAAUGAAACCAUACAGAUAUAAAAUGAGAUUUGAAACCACUAAUUGAAGCUUUAUCAUGUUCCACAAGAACCAACCACAGAAGGAUAAAUGCUGAUUUAGACCCUAGUUUAGUUUCUAAAUAUUGAAUAUAAAGGAAAAAAAUAAACUUUAGAAAUAGACAAAAAUUCCAAAGCUUGCAUAAAUGGGAGCGUAUAUUCUGGUCUGCCUGUUAUCCUGUUGUCUUGGCAUAAUAUUAACACCAUCUCCUUUCAUUCUCAGCAGUGUUAUAAUUUGCCUGAUGAAUUACAUAGUCACCCUUACCUACAACAGGAGGACUAACUUGGUGUGUUGUGUGAGGGUGAGGUAGCGGGCAGGGAGAGGAGAUGCCAAGAAAUCAAGAGAAAAUUUAAUGCUACCAGGGAUCCUGCCACAAGGAAUAAAACACCAUGCAACCCUAGGACAAUGUACAUAGUUGUAUAUUCUAGUUAUGGGUCCUUCUAGUUGUGGCAUGUGGGACACCCCCUCAACGUGGCCUGACAAGUGGUGCCGUGUCCACACCCAGUAUCCAAACCAGCUAAACCCUGAGCUGCCUCAGUGGAGCACUCGAACUUAACCACUCGGCCACGGGGCCAGCCCCUCCUUUUAUUUUGUAAAAUAUUUUAAUUGUGAUUAUUUUAAUAUUACAAUAGUGGUUAUGAAAUAAAAUAACAAAACUAUUUUGUUAAUAAAGAAGAAUUGUGAUUAAUAAAACACAGUCGUUUAUUUUCAAGUAUGUUGAGUCCACUAGUACAGGUCAAUGAUGUAUUUGGGAGGUU